CGGUGUGUAACUCAAUUGGCGAGAGUGUCUUCCUUACAAGAAGAAGGUUGUGGGUUCAAGUCCUACCGCACCGA
rnacentral:tRNA from 1 species